rnacentral:rRNA from 1 species
CCUACGGGAGGCAGCAGUAAGGAAUAUUGGACAAUGCUCGCAAGAGUGAUCCAGCCAUGCCGCGUGCAGGAAGAAUGCCCUAUGGGUAGUAAACUGCUUUUGAACUAGAGAAAACCCCAGUACGUGUACUGGGCUGAUAGUAUAGUUAGAAUAAGCAUCGGCUAACUUCGUGCCAGCAGCCGCGGUAAGACGAAGGAUGCAAGCGUUAUCCGGAUUCAUUGGGUUUAAAGGGAGCGUAGGUGGACUGAUAAGUCAGUGGUGAAAUCUCCGAGCUUAACUCGGAAAUUGCCAUUGAUACUGUUGGUCUUGAGUACAGUUGCUGUGGGCGGAAUAUGACAUGUAGUGGUGAAAUACAUAGAGAUGUCAUAGAACACCGAUUGNGAG